CCUACGGGCGACAGCAGUGAGGAAUAUUGGUCAAUGGCCGUAAGGCUGAACCAGCCAAGUAGCGUGAGGGACGACUGCCCUAUGGGUUGUAAACCUCUUUUAUGCGGGGAUAAAGGUGUCUACGUGUGGCUGUUUGCAGGUACCGCAUGAAUAAGGACCGGCUAAUUCCGUGCCAGCAGCCGCGGUAAUACGGAAGGUCCGGGCGUUAUCCGGAUUUAUUGGGUUUAAAGGGAGCGUAGGCGGGUCUUUAAGCGUGCCGUGAAAUUUUGUGGCUCAACCAUGGGAGUGCGGCUCGAACUGGAAACCUUGAGUGCGCGGGAGGCAGGCGGAAUUCGUGGUGUAGCGGUGAAAUGCUUAGAUAUCACGAAGAACCCCGAUUGCGAAGGCAGCCUACCGCAGCGUUACUGACGCUGAAGCUCGAGAGCGCGGGUAGCGAACAGGAUUAGAUACCCGGGUAGUC
rnacentral:rRNA from 1 species